UAGGGAAUCUUCCACAAUGGACGAAAGUCUGAUGGAGCAACGCCGCGUGAGUGAAGAAGGUUUUCGGAUCGUAAAGCUCUGUUGUUGGUGAAGAAGGAUAGGGGCAGUAACUGGUCUUUAUUUGACGGUAAUCAACCAGAAAGUCACGGCUAACUACGUGCUAG
rnacentral:rRNA from 1 species